rnacentral:rRNA from 1 species
AUUGAACGCUGGCGGCGGGCCUAACACAUGCAAGUCGAGCGAGGGGCGGACGGUUGAGUACUGUAUGGCGACUGCCCGAUCCCAGGCGAUAACUCCUGGAAACCGUAGCUAAUACCGCAUACUAUCGGAUAACCCAUAUGGGAUUAGCUAGUUGGUGAGUGAAUGGCUAACCUAGGCGACGAUCCCUAGCUGGUCUGAGAGGAUGAUCAGCCACACUGGUACUGAGACACGGCCCAGACUCCGACGGAGGCAGCAGUUGGGAAUAUUGGACAAUGGGGGCAAGCCUGAUGCAGCCAUGCCGCGUGUAGGAAGAAGGCCCUAGGGUUGUAAAGUACUUUCAGUCGGGAGGCGUUACCGACAGAAGAAGCACCGGCUAACUCCGUGCCAGCCGCCGCGGUAAUUC